CCGGGCAGCUAUACAUGCAGUCGAGCGAAUGGAUUAGAGAGCUUGCUCUCAUGAAGUUAGCGGCGGACGGGUGAGUAACACGUGGGUAACCUGCCCAUAAGACUGGGAUAACUCCGGGAAACCGGGGCUAAUACCGGAUAACAUUUUGAACUGCAUGGUUCGAAAUUGAAAGGCGGCUUCGGCUGUCACUUAUGGAUGGACCCGCGUCGCAUUAGCUAGUUGGUGAGGUAACGGCUCACCAAGGCAACGAUGCGUAGCCGACCUGAGAGGGUGAUCGGCCACACUGGGACUGAGACACGGCCCAGACUCCUACGGGAGGCAGCAGUAGGGAAUCUUCCGCAAUGGACGAAAGUCUGACGGAGCAACGCCGCGUGAGUGAUGAAGGCUUUCGGGUCGUAAAACUCUGUUGUUAGGGAAGAACAAGUGCUAGUUGAAUAAGCUGGCACCUUGACGGUACCUAACCAGAAAGCCACGGCUAACUACGUGCCAGCAGCCGCGGUAAUACGUAGGUGGCAAGCGUUAUCCGGAAUUAUUGGGCGUAAAGCGCGCGCAGGUGGUUUCUUAAGUCUGAUGUGAAAGCCCACGGCUCAACCGUGGAGGGUCAUUGGAAACUGGGAGACUUGAGUGCAGAAGAGGAAAGUGGAAUUCCAUGUGUAGCGGUGAAAUGCGUAGAGAUAUGGAGGAACACCAGUGGCGAAGGCGACUUUCUGGUCUGUAACUGACACUGAGGCGCGAAAGCGUGGGGAGCAAACAGGUAAA
rnacentral:rRNA from 1 species